GAGGCUUUAAAAAGGAUGAAAGGAGGCAAGGCGAUGGGCCCUGGUUGUAUCCCCAUUGAGGUGUGGAAAGGUCUCGGGGACAUAGCGAUAGUAUGGCUAACCAAGCUUUUCAACCUCAUUUUUCGGGCAAACAAGCUGUCAGAAGAAUGGAGAUGGGGUAUAUUAGUACCAAUCUUCAAGAACAAGGGGGAUGUUCAGAGUUGUACUAAUUACCAUGGAAUUAAGCUGAUGAGCCAUACAAUGAAGCUAUGGGAGAGAGUCAUUGAGCACCGCUUAAGAAGAAUGACAAGCGUGACCAAAAAUCAGUUUGGUUUCAUGCCUGGGAGGUCGGCCAUGGAAGCCAUUUUCUUGGUACGACAACUUAUGGAGAGAUAUAGGGAGCAAAAGAAGGACUUGCAUAUGGUGUUCAUUGACUUGGAGAAGGCCUAUGAUAAAAUACCGCGGAAUGUCAUGUGGUGGGCCUUGGAGAAACACAAAGUCUCAGCAAAGUACAUUACCCUCAUCAAGGACAUGUACGAUAAUGUUGUGACAAGUGUUCGAACAAGUGAUGUCGACACUGAUGACUUCCCGAUUAAGAUAGGACUGCAUCAGGGGUCAGCUUUGAGCCCUUAUCUUUUUGCAUUGGUGAUGGAUGAGGUCACAAGGGAUAUACAAGGAGAUAUCCCAUGGUGUAUGCUCUUUGCGGAUGAUGUAGUGCUAGUUGACGAUAGUCGGACGGGGGUAAAUAGGAAGUUAGAGUUAUGGAGACAAACCUUGGAAUCGAAAGGGUUUAAGCUUAGUAGAACUAAAACCGAG
rnacentral:rRNA from 1 species